CCUUAACUUUGUCUGCCUGGGGGAAGGAAUAUUCAGUUGCAACUGCAACAGCCAAAACAUUUUUGUAGGCAUUGAUGAACAUGUGGGGUGCAGCUGCAAGAGUUGGGUAAGAAACAGCCAGUGACAAUGUAGUGACCAUGGAAAUUCCAGCAGCAAACUUCUCCAUGAGAUCAUCUUCGGUCAUAUCAAGAACCUCUGGGCUGAAGACUGAUCCGUUGUCAUAAACAGACAAGACAAUAAGACCAUAAGAGAAGGGGCGAAUGCCAAGUUUUGCAAGGAGGGCAGCCUCAGAAGACCCCACUUUGUCACCCUUCUUGAUAAGCUCCACAGGGGUAAUAAUCUCAACAGUACCCUUGUUAAUUUUGGUUGGAAUAUUGAGCACCUGGAAGAAAGAUGUCUGGGAAGGGUCUAGUCCAGUGUUUCCAGGAGGGACAACGACAUCACAAGGAGCUACCAAACCAACACGAGCAGGAGCUCCAACCUGUUCAAAAAAGCAGAGAUCUUUACGACUUCGGCAAAACAUACAAAUCACAAGACUUAAUUUACCAAAUGUAAUUAAAAAUUUGCAGUUUUUUGCUGAAAGCAAAUGUAAUAUAAUUUUCAUAUUCUUUACCAUGAAAGCUACUCUCACUUUUAAGUGAACUGGAUAUGUGAAUCAAAGUUCAGGUGACAUAACAUCUCUACCAGUAUCAAAUAACAAAAACUAUCAAAAUAAUAACCAAGUAAUUUUAAUCCUUGCCUCA